rnacentral:lncRNA from 1 species
GAUUAAGUGACGUCACCCAGGCAUGUUAGAAGUGCAAGAUCUACAUCUCCCUCUUCUUCAAACAAGCUCCAUGUGCUUGGAUCUGGGCCUUGGAUCUACAGAUUGUGUGUACUUUGUAUUUGUUGAGCACCUGCUGUGUGUCAGGCCCUCUAGCAGCUGAGACCCAGAGAUGCGCAAGGCAGAGGGGUCCUGGCCGUCAUGGAGCUCACAGCCUAAUGAGGAAGAUGAACAAUAAGCAGAAAGAAAAGCAUCCAUCAAAAUAAACAACCAGAAAACAUUGGCUGGAGGGAUGUGCUGU